rnacentral:tRNA from 1 species
GGGCCCGUAGCCUAGACUCCAACCAAUCCGGCGAGGGGAAUCCCGUGGACAGGGAUGUCCAUGGUUGCCCCAAACACGGAUCAGGGCGUCAGCCUGCGAAGCUGGAGACCGAGGGUUCGAAUCCCUCCGGGCCCG